rnacentral:miRNA from 1 species
GACAGAAAGAGAGAGAGAGAGAGAGAGAGAGAGAGAGAGAGAGAGAGAGAGGGAGGAAAAUAAAGAAGGAGGGAGGGAAGAGAGAUUGUUCAUCUAACUCCUCUCUCUCUCUCUCUCUCUCUCUCUCUCUCUCCAUAUGCUCAUUUUAGUU